rnacentral:rRNA from 1 species
UUUAAUUGAAGAGUUUGAUCAUGGCUCAGAUUGAACGCUGGCGGCAGGCCUAACACAUGCAAGUCGAGCGGCAGCGGGAGGAAGCUUGCUUCCUCGCCGGCGAGCGGCGGACGGGUGAGUAAUGUCUGGGAAACUGCCCGAUGGAGGGGGAUAACUACUGGAAACGGUAGCUAAUACCGCAUAACGUCGCAAGACCAAAGUGGGGGACCUUCGGGCCUCACACCAUCGGAUGUGCCCAGAUGGGAUUAGCUAGUAGGUGGGGUAAUGGCUCACCUAGGCGACGAUCCCUAGCUGGUCUGAGAGGAUGACCAGCCACACUGGAACUGAGACACGGUCCAGACUCCUACGGGAGGCAGCAGUGGGGAAUAUUGCACAAUGGGCGCAAGCCUGAUGCAGCCAUGCCGCGUGUGUGAAGAAGGCCUUCGGGUUGUAAAGCACUUUCAGCGAGGAGGAAGGCGUUGUAGUUAAUAACUGCAGCGAUUGACGUUACUCGCAGAAGAAGCACCGGCUAACUCCGUGCCAGCAGCCGCGGUAAUACGGAGGGUGCAAGCGUUAAUCGGAAUUACUGGGCGUAAAGCGCACGCAGGCGGUCUGUUAAGUCAGAUGUGAAAUCCCCGGGCUUAACCUGGGAACUGCAUUUGAAACUGGCAGGCUAGAGUCUCGUAGAGGGGGGUAGAAUUCCAGGUGUAGCGGUGAAAUGCGUAGAGAUCUGGAGGAAUACCGGUGGCGAAGGCGGCCCCCUGGACGAAGACUGACGCUCAGGUGCGAAAGCGUGGGGAGCAAACAGGAUUAGAUACCCUGGUAGUCCACGCUGUAAACGAUGUCGAUUUGGAGGUUGUGGCCUUGAGCCGUGGCUUCCGGAGCUAACGCGUUAAAUCGACCGCCUGGGGAGUACGGCCGCAAGGUUAAAACUCAAAUGAAUUGACGGGGGCCCGCACAAGCGGUGGAGCAUGUGGUUUAAUUCGAUGCAACGCGAAGAACCUUACCUACUCUUGACAUCCACGGAACUAGCCAGAGAUGGCUUGGUGCCUUCGGGAACCGUGAGACAGGUGCUGCAUGGCUGUCGUCAGCUCGUGUUGUGAAAUGUUGGGUUAAGUCCCGCAACGAGCGCAACCCUUAUCCUUUGUUGCCAGCGGUUCGGCCGGGAACUCAAAGGAGACUGCCAGUGAUAAACUGGAGGAAGGUGGGGAUGACGUCAAGUCAUCAUGGCCCUUACGAGUAGGGCUACACACGUGCUACAAUGGCAUAUACAAAGAGAAGCGAUCUCGCGAGAGCAAGCGGACCUCAUAAAGUAUGUCGUAGUCCGGAUUGGAGUCUGCAACUCGACUCCAUGAAGUCGGAAUCGCUAGUAAUCGUAGAUCAGAAUGCUACGGUGAAUACGUUCCCGGGCCUUGUACACACCGCCCGUCACACCAUGGGAGUGGGUUGCAAAAGAAGUAGGUAGCUUAACCUUCGGGAGGGCGCUUACCACUUUGUGAUUCAUGACUGGGGUGAAGUCGUAACAAGGUAACCGUAGGGGAACCUGCGGUUGGAUCACCUCCUUACC